rnacentral:rRNA from 1 species
CAUUGAACGCUGGCGGCAUGCCUUACACAUGCAAGUCGAACGGCAGCACGGACUUCGGUCUGGUGGCGAGUGGCGAACGGGUGAGUAAUGUAUCGGAACGUACCUUUCAGUGGGGGAUAACGUAGCGAAAGUUACGCUAAUACCGCAUAUUCUGUGAGCAGGAAAGCAGGGGAUCGCAAGACCUUGCGCUGAUUGAGCGGCCGAUAUCAGAUUAGCUAGUUGGUGGGGUAAAGGCCUACCAAGGCUACGAUCUGUAGCGGGUCUGAGAGGAUGAUCCGCCACACUGGGACUGAGACACGGCCCAGACUCCUACGGGAGGCAGCAGUGGGGAAUUUUGGACAAUGGGGGCAACCCUGAUCCAGCCAUGCCGCGUGAGUGAAGAAGGCCUUCGGGUUGUAAAGCUCUUUCGGCCGGGAAGAAAUCGCAUCAGCUAAUACCUGGUGUGGAUGACGGUACCGGAAUAAGAAGCACCGGCUAACUACGUGCCAGCAGCCGCGGUAAUACGUAGGGUGCGAGCGUUAAUCGGAAUUACUGGGCGUAAAGCGUGCGCAGGCGGUUGUGUAAGACAGGCGUGAAAUCCCCGGGCUCAACCUGGGAACUGCGCUUGUGACUGCACAGCUAGAGUACGGCAGAGGGGGGUGGAAUUCCACGUGUAGCAGUGAAAUGCGUAGAGAUGUGGAGGAACACCGAUGGCGAAAGGCAGCCCCCUGGGUCGAUACUGACGCUCAUGCACGAAAGCGUGGGUAGCAAACAG